rnacentral:tRNA from 1 species
AGGCGUGUAGCUCAGCGGUAGAGCACUACCUUGACACGGUAGUGGUCAGCGGUUCAAUCCCGCUCACGCCUA